rnacentral:rRNA from 1 species
GACGAACGCUGGCGGCGUGCUUAACACAUGCAAGUCGAACGAAAAGAGGGAAAGAGCUUGCUCUUUCCGGAAUUGAGUGGCAAACGGGUGAGUAACACGUAAACAACCUGCCUUCAGGAUGGGGACAACAGACGGAAACGACUGCUAAUACCGAAUAAGUUCCAAGGGCCGCAUGGCCCAUGGAAGAAAAGGUGGCCUCUACCUGUAAGCUACCGCCUGAAGAGGGGUUUGCGUCUGAUUAGCUGGUUGGAGGGGUAACGGCCCACCAAGGCGACGAUCAGUAGCCGGUCUGAGAGGAUGAACGGCCACACUGGAAUUGAGACACGGUCCAGACUCCUACGGGAGGCAGCAGUGGGGAAUCUUCCGCAAUGGGCGAAAGCCUGACGGAGCAACGCCGCGUGAGUGAUGACGGCCUUCGGGUUGUAAAACUCUGUGAUCCGGGACGAAAAGGCAGAGUGCGAAGAACAAACUGCAUUGACGGUACCGGAAAAGCAAGCCACGGCUAACUACGUG